rnacentral:rRNA from 1 species
GAAAUGACUCUCGGCAAUGGAUAUCUCGGCUCUUGCAUCGAUGAAGAGCGCAGCGAAAUGCGAUACGUGGUGCGAAUUGCAGAAUCCCGCGAACCAUCGAGUCUUUGAACGCAAGUUGCGCCCGAGGCCAACCGGCCAAGGGCACGUCUGCUUGGGCGUCAAGC